UGGGCGCAAGCCUGAUCCAGCCAUGCCGCGUGCAGGAAGAAGGUCCUAUGGAUUGUAAACUGCUUUUAUACAGGAAGAAACAACGCUACGUGUAGCGUCUUGACGGUACUGUAUGAAUAAGGACCGGCUAACUCCGUGCCAGCAGCCGCGGUAAUACGGAGGGUCCAAGCGUUAUCCGGAAUCAUUGGGUUUAAAGGGUCCGUAGGCGGCCAAAUAAGUCAGUGGUGAAAGCCCAUCGCUCAACGAUGGAACGGCCAUUGAUACUGUUUGGCUUGAAUUAUUAGGAAGUAACUAGAAUAUGUAGUGUAGCGGUGAAAUGCUUAGAGAUUACAUGGAAUACCAAUUGCGAAGGCAGGUUACUACUAAUAUAUUGACGCUGAUGGACGAAAGCGUGGGGAGCGAACAGGAUUAGAUACCCUGGUAGUCCACGCCGUAAACGAUGGAUACUAGCUGUUCGGAGCAAUCUGAGUGGCUAAGCGAAAGUGAUAAGUAUCCC
rnacentral:rRNA from 1 species